CAUACUCAGCUGGUUAGAGUGAAAACUUUUAAUUUUUUGGUCGUGAGUUCGAGUCUCACUGUU
rnacentral:tRNA from 1 species